UCCCUAUCCAUAAAAUACGGUUUCACGUUAAAGUCUUGAUAGUCUGUUUAGUGAGUCCAGACUUGAGACCUUUUUCCCUUGCCAAAGACUGAUGGCCUAUCUCUAAAAUAAACAUUCCCACGGUUUAUGUCCAGCAUCUUCUAAUUCAGUCACAUUUAGACACUAUAUAUCCAAAUUGUAACGUAUGUCUUCAUGGUCGGCCUGCAGGAUCUUGUAAUUAGGGUUAUUUUCACCUCAACCCUCAUUUCCAAAUACAAAAACACACAAAUAUUAAGUCAAGUACUUAUAUAAAUGUUGUUAAACCCAUGUGAUAAAUACAGCUGCAAUCUGUUAAGACUAACAAAAGCGCAACUUGCAGGAGAUGGAGGGUACGGAUUUUUUGCCGGAGAAUGCCACCCCCUCGAUCGCGAAGCUGUGACAAAGACGAAGAAGCCACAAGCCCACCCCACUGGUGGCGACGGCACCACCGGCUGCACCGUCAAACCCAGCGUGUCCGGACACCUUGCUUGGAAACCACCCUCAGGGCAUAGCUGCCACCUUUCCUCACAAAGGAGGCGGGGAGAAGUGCGGAAAUGUGGCGAUCAUUCCACCAGCAGCUCGGAUGACUCCAUCUCAUUGAUGGAUCUGCACAAGCGCAUCCUCAGGAGAAGGUGUAAUGCCUUGGACAGCAGGUCGGAACACUCGGACCAACAUAGUCCACAAGUCGUGAAGAAGUUAAAGGUGCACACCCCUCUCAAGUCAACGGAAAAAACGUAACGGCGAACGCCACCCCAUCAUUCCAAGCAGCAGAAGUUGUCGACAAACAAGAGUUUGCUGUCCCUUAGCAGAACCGAGGGGUGGCUUGAUUGUACGUCUGAUGCUUCACAAAAUACGUCAUUGGGAACGUCAUUGAUUUCAGCCGACUCCUCCAUCGCUGGACGCAGAAAGAGGCAGCACUGGUCUGCUUCCGAGACGAUCUGGCUGAAGAAAGGCGUGAAGAAGUACGGCACUGGCAACUGGGCCAAGAUUCUAGAGUCGUACAAUUUUGUCGGCCGCUCCAACGUGAUGCUAAAAGAUCGCUGGCGCACGCUCGUCAAGUUGGGAGAGGACAAGCUGGACGUCUAGCGGCCAAAGAUAAAUGCUCUGCUCGUCGCAAAUGAAAUACCUGCACACCCACAGUCCUGAUAGUGUUGCCAAGUGCAAAAGUGGUGGUUGGUCUUUUCUCGUACAUCUCGUUACCACUGCAACUGAGCUGAGCCAGUCCAGCAUGGCUCGCCAAGUGCAAUUUGGUUUUUCCACUGCAGAAGCCUCGUCGCAUCGCUGAUGUCACACGCAAUAAAUGAAUUGACACGCACGCAGAUGACGCAGUGACUGUCCUCGCCGUGUACUGACUUGACGUCGCACGCGAUGAACGCGUCCUUAGCCGAGGCCUGCUUUUGAGGCCAGCUUAAGUGUGGAGCAUAGCCAAUGGAAAGCCACCUAUGCACCCCCAUACUGGCUCUGCCCAGAAGUCCUAGUCGAAAAGGGGUAUAGAUCAAUUGUUUCAACAUGGCCGGAAAACGUAAAACAAAAAUUAACCACUGCCACGAUUAAAGUCCCCAUAUUAACAUUUACUACAUGACAUAUGUGUCCUUCAAGAGAAGCACACAUCUGAUGAAGAGGCUAGAGUUGUAUGACGUGACGAAUUAAAUCCAAACUGUCCAUUCAGAAUGUCUGAGGCCACAGUUAAAAUUCUGUCUAGGUAUAAUUCUUUAGUUGAUGUUAUGUUUGGACACCCUGUAUAUACAUUUCAAGUGAAUGCAAGGAUAGUUGCAUUAAGUCCUCGUUUAAUGCGGUAUGCGUUCUGAAAAGUGCCGCAUUAAACGAAAAAUUGUCCCCAUAAGUAAUUUAACAAUAAAGUAUGGAGAGAUACAAUGUACGCACACAAAAAAAGAUUGUGGCAUAACUGAGGGUAUGCCGCUGCAUGACUAUCUUUCUGCGAACUGUAUCAUACUGCUCGGCGGCGCAGCCCAAGAAAAUAGUUAUUUAUCGACCACUCAGAAACUGCUUUGUAACGGGGCGCGUUCUGCGUUAUGUGAAAAGUGUUCCCGAAUGGAAGAACCGCGUUACAGUGAAAACACGUGUGAACACCUCAGGUUAAGCGAGGACCUGAUGUACAUGAGCACACGUGCGCACUCGCAUUUAGAAUUUUGGAGUCUUGUACCUGAUACUUUUUAAUAAAAAAAAGUAGCGAAGUUUAUAUUGUCCCAUAUAAAAAAGUAAAUACUCUCUUACUAUAGCAUCAACACGACUUGCACAGGUGAGCCCAAUUCUUAUUUUAUAUACAGUAAAACCUUGGAUUGCGAGUAACUUGGUCUGCGAGUGUUUUGCAAGACGAGCACAUUUUUUAAAUAACUUCAUUUGAUAAACGAGCGAGGUCUUGCAAUAUGAGCAGUACAUAUACGCUUUCUGCCGAGCGUCACGUGAUCACAACUGAUAUACGAGUGCUUUGAUAUACCAGUGCGUUGGAUUACAAGCACGUUUUCAGAACGAAUUAUGCUUGCAAUCCAAGGUUUUACUGUAUAUGCCUUGUACUGGUAGCAACGAAGUUGUAAACUGAGUGUACCAGCCUGCAAUAGAUUAAUAUGUCCGUCCCCUUUCAAUACUUUAACGAAGUGAAAUCUCGUGCUGUUGGGUGUAAUAAAAUUGCGCAAAAUUCCAAUGUUCCUACCAGCCCACCCUGCAGGGACCUGUUUAUUUAAUUCUUCCUCAUGGCAGGCUGCAAAGUUUCGUUUUGUGCUACGUGGGAAUGGUGUUGGUUUUGAAGUAUUUGGCUGCGAUAGAUUCCCACGUGAAAAGCAAUUUUGUUGAGUUAUAAUGUGGCCAGAGCGCUUCUGAAAAAUAGCUAUUUAGCUCCGGGGACCUUACCUGGUAAAAUAAAACGUUUCUUACAUUGGUGCAAGUUUAGUAAAUUCCCCCUACCCCUCCAGCCAGCAGUAUAAAUGGAUUCAGUCGAUUGGCAGGUCGAGUGUGGUGAGAGUAGAGCUCCCUCGUGAAGACCCUUCUGCCAGCACUUAGCGUGAUCAAGUAAUUAGCUGCACGUUUACCUGUUAGACACAACUUGAUUCGAUGGCGAAAAAGGCGAGUGUUGAGACAUUUCUCCGGAGUUGCAGGUGCCUCGAUAGUAAACUUUAUUGUAAUUUUGCUUAAUUGAAAAGCGUAUUUGUGUGUGUACAUAUACGUAAGCGAGAUGGCUUACACACAUCUUAGUGAUGUAUGCUGCCUAACUGCCUGAUAAUAAAUGUAUCAUUUUCGUGAGUGCAUCUCUGCACUUUCAGAUAUUUUUCCUCCUUUUUAAAGUAAAUGUUACUGGUCCAUGUGCAAUCGUAACUAAUACGCACUGCAAUUGUGUUUUUGUUUUAGACAUUCGUAUUUGACCUUUUGUUAUCAGUUUGUUUUCCAUUAAAAAAACUCCAACUCUUCAUUCGA